CAAGCCCCCACAUUUCUGCAAUCUCUCUGGCCCCCAAACCAGCAACAUAACCCGGAGUUGCAUCCAAAAGCAGACACCAAGCAGCCAGCGAGCAAUCCAAAUUUUAAAGGCAUGUAAUUAAAGGAGUUAAAUUGGGAGCAGGGACUGCGCCACAUGGGGAAACGUACCUUUUUUUUUGAAAAUACCAGAUCCCUUUGAGUUGCCAACCACAUGUUGGAGACCAGGUUUUUACUGCUGAUUGUGCGACGCUCAAGGACAAACAUCUUAGCUUGAUUUCUAUUUUGGCUUUGUGCUACUUUUAGUUCAAAGACCAAAUAUAGUUUAUUUAAGUCAGCCAUGUGUGGCUAAUGUAGCAUUUACUUAGGAACAGUAUGUAUGCAGCACAAAAUUGCUACAAAGAGUGACACACAUUGCUGUUUGAGUAAAAAUGGGAUUUGGGGAAAAACACUAUUGCCCUAAUAGUUAUAUCUAGAUUUUAUAUUGCGCCUGAGUUGAUUUGAUUGAAAAAAAAUAGUUUGUGUCAACGACAUGCUAGGAGUUUGCAUUACGCUGAUUUCCAUCGUAAAACAGUAAAUUUAGUUUAGGAGUAAGUGUUCAUACUAUUAGUCUGCUGGAAAAGGACACUGUUUAGUAAAUGUUCUUUUUUAUUUAUGGGAUUUUCAGGUACAGAUAUAAUGGCGACCAAACCAAAUAUUGUAGUGGUGGAUGAAGGAAACAGGAAAGCUGUUAUGGUAGAUUUGGCAAUACAUAGUGAUGGCAACGUCAGCAAGUAGUCUUAAAAGUGAAUCAUGGCAUCUGAACCUAUAAUCAUUUGCUUCAGAUGCCAUGACACAACUUCAAGGAUAUGUAUUGUGCAAAAAUGAACUGGAGAAAGCUUGGAAAGUUGAGGUGACAGUUGUGCCUGUGAUCAAAGAUACUGCUCAUGAUCUUUAAACUACCACCUCUGAAAGAGGACCUGAGCUUAGGUGAGAAACUGCCUGCAGAGUUUGACAGGGUUUUUUUUUUAAAUAAUUCUGUUCUCAACUGAAGGACAAACACCAGAUCAGUGCCAUUUAUUCGGCAUCUGCUCAUCCUAAUCCAUUUUUCUCGACUGUCGUACUCAUUUCUGCUGUUCUGGAGUACUGAUCCUAGUAGUAAAAGGUAGUAAAUAUGAAGGGGACAUUGUAUAGUGUUAGCAUGGCCACAAACAGCUCCUUGAGGCACACCCACAAAAUUACCAGGCUUGGAUCCUCUAUUCGUUGUCAUAACGUGAUUGACUCUCCACACCAUGGGGAGUGCCUCAUGGACCUCUGCUAGACAACCUGUAGAUGCUCCCUCUGGGUCAGCAAUAAUAAAAACUUAAAAAUUAAAACAUUAUAAAGAAAUGGACGUGUCAUAGUAGACUCAGACCUAAUUUUUAGCAUAUCCAGAUUUCCAUUCACACUUGAUAUGGACCAACCAAACCAAACUAUGCAGAUAAAAAUACAUAUUUUCCUUUUUUUUUAAAGGGAAUAGGGAAUUCUUUGGAAGAGGAUUAGAAAAACUACCAAACUACUAACAAUGUCAUGAUUUUCGAGACUUCGAGACAGACCCAGAUGCUGGAACCCGGAAGGAACACAGGAGAGUUAUUAGGUAAGUAAUUAGAUUUAUUUGCUCUCGUAGGUGAUCUUCUGGAGGUGAUGUCUUCGGCUCGAGACUGUUGAUAAGUGGCGAGAAGACGUGGCGUGGCUGGAGGGCUUCGAUGGAGGCUGAGAGGGCAUGAACAGCAGGCGAAGAGAGCGUGGAGGAAACAGGCGGUUCCGGAGGCAAUCCCAGUGACCAGACAAGCACCAUGGAGGAGCAACGAACUGGCGACGAAUACUGGCUGUGGAUCUCCUUGAGAAGGCAGUAGGCUGAUGAGGUAGAAUCUACUCCUUCGGUUCCACCUUUCCUAAUUGGACUCAGUUUUUGUCACUCACUCCUGCUCUGACCGCCAUGAUCUUUCACUGCCGACCUGGGUCCACACAUCAACUCACCAUCUGGUUACACCUGAGCACUCGACCUCCAGCCACUACACGACUUCCUGCACUCACUUCCUCCUCCACUGGGACUCACGCUCUUCCAUCAUCCCAAGACGCCAUCACAGAUUUCGCCACCAGCUACCUAACACUUCCACUGAAUAACAGUUUCCUCCUGGACCAUAAAACAGUGACUACAUCCGUUCUUGUGUCCGUGAUCUUUCUGCGUUCCAGCAUCUGGGUCUGUUGUCGUUCAUCCUAAACAUGACACUUUUGCGAUUCUACUGUAAAUCUGAGUUAAAGACAAAUCUUGGAUCGACAAAAUAAUACAAACGAACAAUAAAACAAAACAAAGUAGCAAGAAAAACAUUUUCAAAGCCAAUUUUCCCAAAUUCAAAAGGUAACUGCAAACAAUUAAUGUGCAAUAGAUGGCAAAACUAAGGGUUACAGAAUAUUUAAUUGGUUACUUGCUCUCAUUAUUUGUUCUUAACUGUAUUGGUGAAACAUGCACAAUCUAAGUGUUUAUUUCAUUCAUGCAGUUUGUGCCUGCUCCCUGCUGAGAAAAUCAGAUUUACUAAACUCCUUUUAAUUAAAAAGCAAAUAAUAUCUACCUUCACAUACAUGCAAAUUUAAACCUCUGUAAAUCAGGCUCGCCAUGUACUGAGGCAGAGUAGGUUGUGUAAGCAAAAUCUUUCAACAGUGGUUUAUUUUCAUUACCUUGACAUGUGUUUGUGAGUCACAACAGAUGAUUGCUCACUUCCACCAACCAGUCAAAUUUGAAUCUAUUCAGUGGGAUAAAGAAAGCAAAAGAAGAAAACAUCCUUCUGGUUCAUCAACUGUUUGACUCAAACAGAUCUUUCAUGUCACAUAAAGAAGAUGUACUUAAAUAUUAAAUACAGCAUCAAAAUACCUCAAUCUGAGUUUAACAUUGUCCUAAAAGCAAUCCCUAAAUGUGUUAGUAUGUUAUUCAAAAGCUCAUCAUUGCAGAGUCCAACUUUAUUAUUAGUUGACCCAACUAAAAUAGAAAUUGGCCAGAUUUGUUUUCCCUCUACGUAACACAAAUCGCCGUAAACGCUCACUUUUAUAGAGGGAUGUUGUAUCCGUUCCGUAUGUAGGUAUUUACUGGAAUAAUCUAGUUUACCAAUUAGAAUGAAAGAAGAUCUGGAAUCUGCCAGCAAAAUAUCUUUUAACCAAUAAAGUGAAAGAAUUCUCCUCUAAAUUAAGCCAUAAAUACUACCCCCCCCCCUCCGACUAUAUCUGCAGAGAUUAAAAAAAUAUAUUAAUAUAACCUGUACCUUUUUGUUAAGAACACCCUGAAGAUGCUGUUCAUUUAUUUUGGUCAUGCCCUUUUUCCACUAAACUCGGUCUAAAGUUUGCAAUUUAAUUUCCGCCCACAUAGACUCAGACUUCUGCCUGUGCUUAGAACAUGUACUGUUUGGCCUCACUCAUUGUCCGUCUCAUAAAAAAGAACC